UCACGCAUGCUACAAUGGCCGGUACAAUGGGUUGCGAUACUGUGAGGUGGAGCUAAUCCCAAAAAGCCGGUCUCAGUUYGGAUUGGGGUCUGCAACUYGACCCCAUGAAGUCGGAGUCGCUAGUAAUYGCAGAUYAGCAACGCUGCGGUGAAUACGUUCCCGGGCCUUGUACACACCGCCCGUCAAGUCACGAAAGUUGGUAACACCCGAAGCCGGUGGCCUAACCCUUGUGGGGGAGCCGUCGAAGGG
rnacentral:rRNA from 1 species